GCUUACGGCCAUACCAGCCUGGGUACGCCCGAUCUCGUCUGAUCUCGGAAGCUAAGCAGUGUCGGGCCUGGUUAGUACUUGGAUGGGAGACCGCCUGGGAAUACCAGGUGCUGUAAGAA
rnacentral:rRNA from 1 species